rnacentral:lncRNA from 1 species
GGAUGGCUUCUCCUCUCUGGGCCUCGGUCUCCUCCCGCUGUCAAAUGGACACAUCAUGAGUUAACUGCUGGGACUGACUGUCCUGGUGGUGGGGGUCACCCGGUCAGUAAACACCCCCCACCAGCCUGGUCCUGGGCCACGCUGUGCCAGACGGGAUGCACCAUUCUUGGUGUCCGUGUGCAGUGCUUGGGUCAGAGGAGGCCCGCUGCAGGUGCUCAUUAAGCAGAGGAGUAAAGAAUGAGGGAGUAUGAGCAGGCCUGGGCCCGGGGAAUCCAGAGGGUGAGGCGCUUCGUUGGCCACCAGGUCCUGGACUUCUGUGGUGAGCUGUCCAGCUGGGCCCUUUGACCCGCCUCUGGAGAGCAAAUGUUUGUUCAGAGCUGAGGUGAGGUGGUGGUGGAAAGAACACGGGCAGCAGCCGGGCUGACCUGCACUUCAGCCUUGGACUUGGUGUUUGACCCCUGACUGUGCAGCUAGCCCAGCUGUGGGCCAGGUGCCACAUGGGGAGGCUGCAGCUCCAGUGUGCCCUGGUGGGAGCUCUGCCGUGUGGUCUUGAACAAGUGAAUCUACCUCUGAGCGAUGGUGCUGGGCAGGGCUGGGG